rnacentral:rRNA from 1 species
AUGUCAGUUGGCCUAUCAUAAUUAUAAUACAACUUUCAACAACGGAUCUCUUGGCUCUCGCAUCGAUGAAGAACGCAGCGAAAUGCGAUAAGUAAUGUGAAUUGCAGAAUUCAGUGAAUCAUCGAAUCUUUGAACGCACCUUGCGCUCUUUGGUAUUCCGAAGAGCAUGCCUGUUUGAGUGUCAUGACAUUAUCAAACCA